rnacentral:rRNA from 1 species
UACGUAGGGCGCGAGCGUUGUCCGGAAUUAUUGGGCGUAAAGAGCUCGUAGGCGGCCUGUUGCGUCCGCUGUGAAAUCCCGGGGCUCAACCCCGGGCUUGCAGUGGAUACGGGCUGGCUAGAGGCAGGCAGGGGAGAACGGGAAUUCCCGGUGUGAGCGGUGAAAUGCGCAGAUAUCGGGAGGAACACCGGUGGCGAAGGCGGUUCUCUGGGCCUGUACUGACGCUGAGGAGCGAAAGCGUGGGGAGCGAACAGG